ACACGAGCCUCUGCUGAGCCACUUUGCUAGUGACGCUGCUAGGAUUUCAAGACUGUGCCACCACGCCCGGCUCCCCUGGAAGACACUGAGAGGAGGACUGGUGGGAGGGAUGCUGUGGCCGGCAGAGGCCAAGAGCAAAGGGCCAGGCGUCCGUCCACUUGGGAAUGCUGCAGUGUGGCUGAGCAGUGAGCAGCCUUGAAUGCAAAUGAGUCCUGUGUAUAUCCUCCAAACAUCACGUGUCCUCCAUGUGCCUUGCCUCAGCCCGUGCAUCCAAUCAGCCCGAGUCCUUGGAAGCGGAAACAAACUUCAGCUCACCACUAAAGUUUUUUGGUGCGUUUCUCUCUCUAUGGCGUUCUGACAAAUGCAGCUCGACUAUGCAAUGUAAGGCAGACAUCUGUGUGGUUAGCAAAAAGUCCUUCGUCAUGUGUCCUUUUCACGUGCUUGCUUUAGCAGAACAUCCUCUCUCCUGUGUCUGCUUCAGCGAAAUGUUCCUUCACGUGUCUGCCACUUCAAAAACAGCAUCCAACUGACUUUCCGAAGAAUCCUUAAGUUUCCACUUCAAGGCCCUGUCUCAAAAAAGGAAAAAGGGAAGUCUAUAUUAAACGCCUACUGCUUCAUC
rnacentral:lncRNA from 1 species